rnacentral:sRNA from 1 species
ACAUUGAAACAUGUCAGGUUUAACAACGGGACAGGCCAGUUCAAUUAAACACUUAAAGAAUUAUAAAAGGACUAAAUUACCAAGGAAGUGAUAAUGUCUUGGAGGGAGUCGUCCUUCUCAAUCAUUUUAGCAACCCUUUUAACUGCAGCCACCACUGUAGAGUGGUUCCUUUUAAAAAUUUUGCCUAUUUGUUGGAACUGCAUCUUGUACUUUUCCCUUAAAAUAUAGUUACAAACGUCACGAACACGAACUAACUCUGCUUUACGGUUCUCAGACAAAACACUGUCCACCGGUACAUUAAAGCGGCGGCAAACGUUUUCUAUUAAUAAAUAAGGAUCAAAGCUCUUUUUGUGGAACUUCUCAAAUUCCUCAAACAGGAUUUCCUUUAGAUUGUCGUUGUUAAUCAGGUUUUGCUUAGUUGUUUUGACAUAAAACAGCAACUUAGUCGCAAUCCCGUUUAAAGAACGAACAUCGUUACCAGAUAUUUGCGCUGCCUUUUCGCGUGCUUCAUUGGUAAUUUGGAUGUUGGGAUCCUUUUCUUUGAGCUUAACGGCCAAAAUUUCACACAGGGAGCUCAAAUUGUGUUUUUCAAUCUUUAACAAGAGUCCCGAUUUAAAGCGUGAUACCAUCCGUGGAUCGAUGUUGGCCAACUCAUCGGGGGUUUUAUCGGACACAAACACAAUUUGCUUGCCCUUACUUACUAAGUUAUUAAAGAUGGAAAAGAGGAUCUCUAAGGUUUUUUCCUUUUUCCCGAAGAUCUGAGUAUCGUCAAUUAAGAGUAAAUCCAAUGACUCGUAAGCAGCCUUGAGCUUUUCAAUGCCUUGAUCCUUUUCCUUUUGGUAAAAGGCAUUGACAACCUCCUGGGCAAAGUCACUCGAUACCACAUACUUUACCUUAGCGUUGGGAAAGUGGAAGAACUUAUCAUUCCCAAUCGCUUGGAGUAAGUGGGUUUUACCCAGACCAGUCUCCCCAUAGAUAAAUAAGGGGGAGAAAUCAGCGUCCUGAGUUUCGCUAAUCCGUACACCCGCUUCAUAAACCCGGCGGUUGCCAUCACCAACCACAAAGUUUUUAAAGGUAAAGUUUUUGCUUAGCCCCGAACUUUGG